UACGUAGGUGGCGAGCGUUAUCCGGAAUGAUUGGGCGUAAAGGGUGCGUAGGCGGAGUGCCAAGUCAGCGGUAAAAUUUCGGGGCUCAACCCCGUCGUGCCGUUGAAACUGACGCCCUUGAGUGAGUGAGAAGUAAGCGGAAUGCGUGGUGUAGCGGUGAAAUGCAUAGAUAUCACGCAGAACGCCGAUUGCGAAGGCAGCUUACCGGCGCUCAACUGACGCUGAGGCACGAAAGUGCGGGUAUCGAACAGG
rnacentral:rRNA from 1 species